rnacentral:tRNA from 1 species
GGAGGAGUCGCAUAGCGGUCUAGUGCACCUGUCUUGAAAACAGGCGUGGGGCAACCCACCGUGAGUUCGAAUCUCACCUCCUCCG